rnacentral:lncRNA from 1 species
AUCACUGGCACUGGUGAUGGGACAGCACGACAAAUGCCACGUUUCCACCUGCUGUCCUGAGGAGCUGAGCGGCCCCACUUCUCCAAACCAGAGGCCCAUCCCCAGAGCAUCCCUGGUCAGCGUGAGUGGACUGCUCUGACCAGGCCGAGCCGGGCUCUGUUGCUUCGUUGCUUUAAGGAGGAAAUGUCUGCAAGUCUUGCUUAAGGGGGUCGAGACGAAUGUCAGACUUGGCACCUGGGCUUUUUUCUUCCAAACGUGUGCUGUGUCCACAGACCAGCAGCCAUUGGCCUCUCCUGGGGAGUGUCCGGGACAGGGUCAGAGCAGUGGGAGCCCCGAGUGAGCAGCUCCCUGGCUCUGCAGGAGAAGGGACAGCAGGUGUCUGUUGUCCGGAGGACGCUGCUCUGCACGGAACCCAGGUGCUUGCUGCACACGGGCCCUGCAAACUGGUGGCAGGGGACAGGUGGCCGCCCUGUGGCCCAUGGUCACAGGUGGCGGGCUCAGGCGUGUGCGCACUGCCCCUGGGCCCACCCUGCACCCCCGCAGGGCUGGUGACGGCGGGUGAGCACAGCACACAGGGAACUUUCACACCCGAGCGUGGCCUUGACCUAGGAGCUGUGGCCCUGAGAGAAGGGACUCCCCGGCAGGAGAACGUGCGGAGGGGUCAUCUGGGCCCGGGGCUUGUUGGAGUCGUCGGCACCUCAUCUGACAGUGCAUCCCUCUACUUGGGGUGUGCGCGAAGCACGGUCCCCGGAACACGGGCCUGCCAGCCGCCAGGAUGCCAGCACUGGGCUAGGACAGCUGCUGUCGACCUCGACCCCCGCGCAGUUGAGGACAUCGUGAGCAACAAACCUGGGACGACUCUGAUAACCAGAGUGUCUGAACGUAGUGUACGGGUGCAGAACAGAUACAGGAGGAUCUGUACGGUGCGUCCGAGAGGCCGCCGCCACCGCCAUGCCGUAGGAAAGUCUUUUGAAGUAGACACAGGUUUGCUCGGGACGGAGCAGAUUCUAAGACACACGAAACCCCAACACCACAGGAGGACUAGAUCCAGCAAUCCAGAGUGA